CACAUGCAAGUCGAGGGGCAGCAUUUUAGUUUGCUUGCAAACUAAAGAUGGCGACCGGCGCACGGGUGAGUAACACGUAUCCAACCUGCCGAUAACUCGGGGAUAGCCUUUCGAAAGAAAGAUUAAUAUCCGAURGYAUAUUAAUACCGCAUGRUAUUAAUAUUAAAGAAUUUCGGUUAUCGAUGGGGAUGCGUUCCAUUAGUUUGUUGGCGGGGUAACGGCCCACCAAGACUACGAUGGAUAGGGGUUCUGAGAGGAAGGUCCCCCACAUUGGAACUGAGACACGGUCCAAACUCCUACGGGAGGCAGCAGUGAGGAAUAUUGGUCAAUGGACGARAGUCUGAACCAGCCAAGUAGCGUGAAGGAUGACUGCCCUAUGGGUUGUAAACUUCUUUUAUAUGGGAAUAAAGUAUUCCACGUGUGGAAUUUUGUAUGUACCAUAUGAAUAAGGAUCGGCUAACUCCGUGCCAGCAGCCGCGGUAAUACGGAGGAUCCGAGCGUUAUCCGGAUUUAUUGGGUUUAAAGGGAGCGUAGGUGGAUUGUUAAGUCAGUUGUGAAAGUUUGCGGCUCAACCGUAAAAUUGCAGUUGAAACUGGCAGUCUUGAGUACAGUAGAGGUGGGCGGAAUUCGUGGUGUAGCGGUGAAAUGCUUAGA
rnacentral:rRNA from 1 species